AUGUUAUUGUUAUGCCUGAGUCUGACUUUGAGUUUCAUAGCGGGAAAUUGAAACGAUAUUUAUUUUUUAUUUCUACAUAGCAAAGAUAUUUAAGUUUUUUUUCCUACACAGCCAAUAUUGUGAAUAAUCUUUUGUAUAACAUCUCUAACUAAAGCAAUAUCGUUAAAAUGGAUAAAGUUCAAGAACUUUCUGAAGCACUGCCUUUACCAAGUCAGCCAUUCUUAAACGUCGAAGUAAAUGAAUGCAAAGAAAGUUGAGUGAGUCUGUGUUAGUGAAACCAUGCUACAGGUGAAACUAGGUAAUGAACAAAUCAUGUUUUUGUUUUGUAAAGAAACUUGAAUAAUUUUAAUAUGUUACUAGAUUGACGUCACUGGUCAUAUGUUGUGCUUCAACAGACUCACUUCUUCAAAUACCACUGUGCUGUCAAAACGUGAACAAAACCAUUUAUUCAAUUUGAUAAUAAGCAUUAACAUCUUAAUAGUAUUUACCACUUUAUUUUAGCACUAUCCCAGAGUAUAGAAUUAUAAAGCUUGUCAAAGACUUUCUUAUCAACAUGAAAACAAUUCAUGGCGA